AUAAUAUCUAGGCUAGAUUACAGAUUCAAAUAAAUUGAAUCUUCAAGAUUUGUAUCCCAAUUUGAGAUUUUAAGGUUGAAUGACACAACUGAGGAGAUAUUCAAGCAUUCAAGAAGAGAUUGAGAUUCAUUGUUGGGAAUUGAGUGCCAAGGUACAACAAUAGCUAGGAUUAUUUUCUUUAUUCCGUAUAUUGAAACGGGUGAUGGUUUUCAUCAUUUUGUUAUUUAAUUUCUUAAUUAUGAUUGGCCAAAUUGGUUGUUAUAAUGAACGACAUAGAUUAAUAUUUAUUUAAUUCAAUUUAUUUAAUCAUUUUGCUUUGAUUGUGUGUUGAUUAUCUAUUGUGUUUUAAUUGCAUUCAAUUGCUUGAUCACCAAUUGUUUAAUUUAAAAACAAUAUUGAGACUGAGAGAAGAUUUAUUUGUUUAAUUCGUACAAUAAGUGACAUAGAUUCAUAAGAGAUAAAGAGAUGAUUAUAACUUAUGCAAUCAUAUUUGAAUUUCCUAAAAUUGAAUAUUUUUUACAUUUGUAUAAAUUUACAUUGAGACAUAGUAAAUUCGAACAUGUGAAGAUUACAAACUAAAAUUGGUUAACUCGAUUAUUAAUGUAUAUGAACAAAUGGUUGAAUGAUAUUGAGUUGAAUAAAUAUUGAUCCUUGUUUGGGCUCCAUUAAAAUGAUUUUUUGAGGAAAAAAUAUAUUUUAGAAUAUUAAUUUAUUUUUUUUGGAAGAUAUGUGAUUAAAAAAUAAGCAAAAUUUUUUGAAUUUACGUGUAAUAUUAAUUUGUGAAAGAAUGUAUGGUUAAAAUGAGUUUUAAAAAAAUGGAGCCCAAAAAGGGGCUAAAUAAAGUGAAAUAGAAAUUUUUAUCCUCUAAAUCCCAUUAGUUCUCCUCAAAGUUGUAAAUAGUAUAUGGAUUUUGACUAAUAUAAUUUAGUUAAGUUAAUAUCUUAAUUUGAUUUGAUAAAUUAGUUAUCACGUUAAUUUAGAUUGAAACGAGAUUAGAAUAAAUAUUGAUAGUAAGUACAUAAUUUCUGUGGGAAAGAUAUUUGAACUCAUAAUCAACUUUAUUACUUAUUACGAUUCGUAUAUUUAAAGAAUCAAUCGAUCAAUCAUACAUUUUUAAAUAAAGUAAUUUUGCACAUAUACUCAUAUUUUUCAUAGUUUUAACCACACAUUUUCAAAAUUAAAAAAAUGGAAAAAAGGAAAAAUCACUUUCCACAAAAUAUGUUUUUUUUUUUUUUUAAAUAUAUCUAACAAACAUUGGCUAAGGAAUUUUAUUAUUUUAUUAUUUUAUUUUUUUUUUUGCCACAUGCAUAAAAAUAACCAAAUCCCUCACCUGAACACCGUGUCAGUAAAAAAUGGAAAUCCUGCAUUUUAAUUUUAAUUUCUUCUUUUGUAAUGGUCUAGCAGCCGGCGGCCGGAGUUUUUUCUGAAAAGUCAUGUGGCCGCCAAUUAUUUUCCAUAUUCUGUAUUUUGUCGUACUCGCAAAUCCAAUUUUAUUUUGCCACCUUGCAUGGAGUGGACUAGUUCCUUUUUCAAACAAACUCCACAGACGUAAUACGUUACUUGUUAAUUUCUCAUAUGCAUAUUUUGUUCUUGAUUAAAUUAUAAUUUAAGUAAUUAAAAAUUGUAAAUCCUACAUAAUGUAUGAAUAAUAAACAAGCAAUAGUCGUGGCUCUUAUAAUAUGUAUAAAAAUUUAUAAUAAUUAUGGAUCUACACGAAAUGGAUAAUCCAUGCGCUAUAUAAUGCAAAGAACACCCUCUAGGUUGUCCCUAUUCACCGUUUCCUCUUUAAUUGGAAGUAUAGGUUCAUUAAUCUCAUCAAGUUUUAACUUCUCGCAAAGGGUGGAUAGCUCUAAUGGAUUGAUGUCGAUAGUGUUUGCGCCGAAACGAAGAGAGAAGGUUCUUGCAUUGGUAGCCACUUGAUGGAACAGUCGGAAACUGUCCAGCCAAUCAGAGAUCAGCCAGAAAAGACUCCCCAUUGGAGAUAAGCACUUAAAAUCGUCAAGGAGGGAAUUUUAGAGAGAUAGUACGCCAUGCAUGAUGCAAUUGAAUGUUUAGUGAUUUAAUUGCUUUGUAAAGUUGUUUUUAACCUUUAAGACAUGAGUUAGGAGAUUUUUUUUUUCUUUUUUCUUUAUUUUUUUGAGACAAUAUUUAAAUGUUAUAUAAAGGUGCUUAUAGUUUAUACACAUCGAAUAACAUGAAAUAAAGUUGGUUUUAUGUGUGUUUUGGUUAGUAGGAACCCUAAAAUUUAAGUAAACACUUCAAGUUCGUGCAAGAUAUUUAAACCGUUUUGACACACUUCAAUAAAGGUGCUUAUAUGUUUUAUAUUACGU
rnacentral:lncRNA from 1 species